GAAUUGACCUUAAGUAAAAUGAGGAGAAAAGAACAAAAGCAAUUUCAUCACAAUAAUUUCUAAGAUUUUGUGAUUCAUCUACAGGUUUUCAAAAUUUGUACUAUAAAUGUUUAAGAUAUCAUAUUUUUAAUUGCACUUACAUUUUAUAUAACUGGCAUAUAUCCUUUUCUAUUCUGUAUAAAAUCAUAAAUUUCAAACUCCAGAUAUAAUAAAGGGUUACAUGUCUAGUAACAUUUCACAGUGAAUAUUGUGAUCUUUUAAGUGUUUCAUCCUACAUGUUACCACUAUUUUCUGAGAGAUGCUUUACAUUUUGAAGUCAAACAUUUCAGCAUGAAACUAGAGAUGGAUACAUGUUACAAAUUUAAAAGCAUCACUGGGAUUUAAGGCAGAGAAUUGGGAGAAUGGACUUAUAAGUGCAACAAUAAUAAAUGGGCCAAAUAUAAAAAAAAAAAGACUCCAUUGAUGGAGUACUAUGCAGCU
rnacentral:lncRNA from 1 species